rnacentral:lncRNA from 1 species
CCCUACAUGCAAGUUGACUUGCACGAAGACAGUAGCGACAAGCUAAAAGAUCCUUUUCAAGGACAGUAAGUUUAGCCCUCCAUGGUGAUGAUGCAACGAAGGCCUUCUCCCUUUAACAUUAAUUCAAAAGCCUUGUUGAUUUAAGAAAAUGGGUGUGUAUGAGUGAUGAAUUUAUCCAAUUCAAGUUCCUUAUUCAUGUAUUUCUCAACAACAGAAGGAUUAUCCGAACUAGGUUUGUAGUUUCCAAAGAAGGUUUCUGAGAGUCCUUUCAUUCAGAAAGUUCAUAGGGUAUGUCUUGAACAAAGCUUCCUUAUGGCACCAACAAGUACAGCCACUCCCCACCCCUGAUAAUUAAUUACGACAAUGUUCGUUAAGAUAAAUGUAUUAAUAAGAACAUACAAUUAAGGAAAUUUGAUGAUAGAAAACAUACAUCAUGGACACAUUCAAAUGCUGGAAUCAUAGCGCAUCAAUAUGGCCAGUACAUUCCACACUCCUAUCGACUCCACCAUCAGUCAUCUCAGCAAUUACCUGAUCAAAUAAUCAAAAUUCAAGAAAAGAUGAUCAACUAUAACUCACAAUGUCUUUUUUUUCUUUCGCGAAAUGAUCCAUUAGGAGAAGUAUAUAUGAGUACCUCUUGAACUGGUUUACUAUAAUCCUUUGGGUUCACAAACUGUGUCGCACCAAAUUUCUUAGCUGUAAGAAUAAAAGUAAAAUGGAUGAAUUAGUUGCUUUGCUAUGAGACAAGUUACAAGGAAGGAAUUAUAAAAUAAUGGAUCAAGAAUGUGUAAGGCACAAGUUAAUUACCUUGCUCAAAUCUGCUAGCAUUUAAAUCAACACCAAUUAUCCUUGAAGCACCAACAAUUCUUGCUCCUUCUGCAGCCUGACCAAAUGAGAUCAGAUCAUUAGUAAGAUUAACAUAUAUAUGGAUAAAAACAAAACAGAACAAGAAAGUUAUUUGCCAUGUGAAGAAUACUCACAGCAAGGCCUACAGCCCCCAGUCAAAAAAUAGCCACACUUGAACCUUUUGUUGGUUUAGCAACAUUCAAAGUUGCUCCAAGGCUUUCAAAAACAUCUGCAAAUAAAGGAAUGAACGUCCUAUCAUCAGCAUGUGUAAACCACCUCAAUAGAUAUACACAAAAAGGAUUCAACAGCGAGAAAGUAAAAUCUAAUUAGAAUCGGUUAAAGAGGAAUUGAAGCAAGCAAGCACAACAAAACAAAACUAAUCUGACUAGUAUAGCUUCUGAUGGUUUCAUUCCUUGAAUAGGAAGUGAGUCACCUUCAAAGAACAGGAUUAUUUGUAGUGACUUUUUUUUGGGGACUGAUAAGGUAUAACUGAAGUGACUUUUCAAAGAGGAAUGAGUAAUUCUUAUGGAAUAAUCACAGAAGGCCUUUGAUUGUAGCUAUGCAUGUGGCUCCCAAAGCGAUCAAAAUGCUACAGAAAUGCUACAGGAAUGCCCUUCCCAUAUAGUUGGGAAGUCACUGGUUGAAAAGAGACAUCAAAUGGAGCAGGCAAGCUAGCUGAUUUGACCAUUCCACCAUAUUGAUACAUUUUUGAGAUCUUUAAAAAAACUAGAUUCAUGCUAUGAUACGAAGCAUGAUACAAAAAAUUAAUUGUUCUAGAUGCAGGCUUUUUUUGAAACUGGUUUAAAUAUAAUACUGUUAGAGCCAUACAAUAUUCCUCCAUACAACAGUAAGAUGUGAGCUAGAACUGCCAUGAAUUGAAAGAAAACAAUGAAUGGGAGAGCAAAAACCACCUGGAAUAUGUAGUUGGCGUUAACAAAGUUUCCAGAACUUUUGAAGAAUGGAUUCAUCUGGAGAGUACCCCAAAGCUUCUAGCUCUGUGGAUGCAAGGGUUGCUUUCCUGAAACAGCCACCAUUGUUCUGAAAAAACAACACAAACCUAGACCAAGAAAAACAACAAACUCAAUUAACCAAAAGAGAAAAUAGAAGGCACUGACAGGAGAUAGGUACUAACAGGAGAUAGGUGGAACAUAGAUGUCUGGAAAAAUGGAUACCCUACAUGCAAGUUGACUUGGAAAAAUGGAUACCCUACAUGCAAGUUGACUUGCACGAAGACCUUCCGGAGAUUUAUUAGUCAGGAAGGACUGUGCCAUAGUUUAUGAUAAGAGUGUAGGCACCAGUAAACAUGCAGACGCAUGUUAAGAAGAAGAAAUGCAAUAACCUAAACAAGUAAAUUAAAGCAGUUGUGUAUUGGCAAGACUACGAAAAAGAAUUAUUCAAACUACAAUAUACCCACCUCGUCAUCAAUACUUCUGAAGUUUUUGAGAGUCUCUGCAAGAUCUUUAUGCAAACUUUCAAUGGAAAUUUGCCUUGACAAUUGAAGUUCAUACAACCUGUUCAAGUCAACAAGCAGUGAGUAUUCAUCAUCACCAUCACCACCCUGCAACGACAACAAUUGCACAUUUGACCAAGCUGCAUCAAUAGAACACAGUCACCUUCAAUUUGUUAAGGGCACAUACAGCAACUUCUAUUAUAGCAGAUUUAAGUUUGAUAAUGAGCUCAUCUUCAAUCCCCUUUGAUUUGUUAAGGACGAAGUCCUGUAACUCCCCACGACUCUCAGUAGCACAGAAGUUCAAUGCUUUUACACAAGAUUCUACGAGCUUCCUUCUCACCAUUCUGAAAAAAUGCCUCUUUCACCAGAAGGACAGAAGAUUUAAAAUCCUGGAAAAGCAAAAGAAAACAGCUUUUAGUUACCAGUUCAAAAAAAUUUAUUUCAUAUUGGCAAUCCCCUAUACAGUUCAUAAUCCUAAUAAGUUCCACAAAUGCACCUGAAGGAAGACUUGGCAGACAUCUGUGGGAGCAUUUAAUGAAAUUUUCCAUCUUAAAUACUACACUUCUCCAUACUGCACUAAUGCCUAUUUCUGGAACAAUGAUACGUUGAUAAUGAGCUCAUCUUCAAUCCCCUUCAAUUUGUUGAGGGUGAAGUCCUGUAACUCCCAACAAAUCUCAGUAGCCCAGAAGUUCAAAGCUUUUAUACAAGAUCUCAGAGCUUCCCUCUCACCAUGCUUAAAAGAUGCCUCGUUCAUCAGAAAGACAGCAUAUUUAAAAAUCUGGAAAAGCAAAAGAAAACAGCUUUGAGUUACCAGUUCAAAAAAAAAUUAUUACUUCAUAUUAGCAAUCCCAUAAAUAGUUCAUGAUAGUAAUAGGUUUCACAAAUGCACCUAAUCUUGUCUUUUAAGAGAAUAGAGCUCUAGGUUCAUAUGAACAAUGAGUUCAAGAAGAUAGGGAAUUUUUGCUUUGUCAGACAUAAAUUUGGGCAUAAGCUGUGGAUAAUUCCUCAUCAUAGCAAUGGUUAUAUCACGCAUAGAACUUUCAAACACGUCCUAGCGAUUACAGCAUAAGCAUUCAAAGAAUUCAGUAUCCUGGAGUAGUAUGGCGGAACAACACCAACAUAAUUUGUCAUUGACAAAGAACACUUAAGAAGGAACCUUACCAAAUUACCUCAAACAAUCAUGUUCAAUAGUCCAGCCAUUGCAGCUUUCGGAUCCUUCUCAUAGUGUUCCACCCAAUGCUUGGUCUUUUCUCAAACAAUAGCGACUAGCUAGAAGCUCCUUUUCUAGGACAGUAAGUUUAGUCCUCCAUGGUGAUGAUGCAACGAAGGCCUUCUCCCUUCAACAUUAAUUCAAAAGCCUUAUUGAUUUCAGAAUAUGGGAAGUGUAUAAGUGAUGAAUUUCUCCAAUUCAAAUUCCUUAUUCAUGUAUUUCUCAACAACAGAAGGAAUAUCCGAACGAGGUUUGUAGUUUCCAAAGAAGGUUCCUUUGAGAGUCCUUUCAUUUAGAAAGUUCAUAGGGUGUGUCUUGAACACAGCUUCGUUAUGGGGUAUACCAAUAAGAACAGCCACUCCCCACCCCUGAUAAUUAAUUACGACAAUGUUCGUUAAGAUUAUUGUAUAAAUAAGAAUAUACAACUAAGGAACUAUCUUUUUACACCAAUAAUAAAAAGAUACAAUACAGUUCCAUCUAACUUUAUGGAUGGAAUUGGACAAAAGUAAGUUGCUAUCUCACUAGACAAAAGAACAAUAUUUACUUUCUAAAAGAUGAAGAGAGACCCAAAAGCUAUAGUCAAAAUAUAAAACCAAGAGAAAAGAUAGUCGAACAAUUACAUACAUAAAAUCAGUCAGAGCAAAGGAAAGGUGAACAGAUGGCCAGAACAUGCACACUGGCAAAUGCAAAGAUCAGCUCAUAAUCAUGGAACUUCGAAAUCAAACUUACCAGUCAUCCAGUUCAAGAAAUCCCAUAAGCAAGCCCAGGGGUUGACUAUUUUCUAGCUCCGAGGAACGCUCAGCAACUGCCUCUGUUUCCAUGUCAAAUGCAGCAUACAGAUCCACCAUCACAUCUCCUUGCUUCUCUUCAUCCAUGAGAUCCUUCCCAGUAGCAGCAACAAUUAUUCUACCUAUUUUGCUAGCCUACAUGAAUCCAAGAGGAAAGCUAAAAUAACCCACUAACCAAACAAGCACGCAAAAUUUCAAGCUAAAAUACCCGCAUUGAACAGAAGUAUUCACACUAGAAAAUGUUGGAACCUCAUCAAGUCUUUUAGCUGAAAAUGCAUUGUAAUGGUCAAAAGCAGCAUCCUCCUUGGGAAGUAAAUGUGCAUAACUGAAACAAAAACCAGGUCGCCAGUAGCAAUAAGUUGAAUUAAAUCCAAUAGUCCAGGUUACCUACCAAGAGCCAACUAGAAAGCCCAAUUAGGCUUUGGGCCUUUCACAAUUCAAAUUAAUCAGUAGAUGCUUUUGCUUUUGCACAGAAUAAGCAACUUCUUAUAUCAAUAAACAAGAGUAUGUAAAGAUCCUACUUAUUAUCCCAAAAGGAGAAGACACAUAAAUAGCAUAUUGU